UUGUUUGGAGAGUUUGAUCCUGGCUCAGGACGAACGCUGGCGGCGUGCUUAACACAUGCAAGUCGAGCGGAAAGGCCCUUCGGGGUACUCGAGCGGCGAACGGGUGAGUAACACGUGAGUAACCUGCCCCCGACUCUGGGAUAA
rnacentral:rRNA from 1 species